rnacentral:rRNA from 1 species
UACGUAGGGGGCUAGCGUUGUCCGGAAUCAUUGGGCGUAAAGAGCGUGUAGGCGGCCCGAUAAGUCCGCUGUGAAAGUCCAGGGCUCAACCCUGGAAUGCCGGUGGAUACUGUCGGGCUAGAGUGCGGAAGAGGCGAGUGGAAUUCCUGGUGUAGCGGUGAAAUGCGCAGAUAUCAGGAAGAACACCCGUGGCGAAGGCGGCUCUCUGGGACGGUACUGACGCUGAGACGCGAAAGCGUGGGGAGCGAACAGG